rnacentral:lncRNA from 1 species
AUGGAAAAAGCAAGAGAGUUCCAGAAAAACAUCUAUUUCUGCUUUAUUGACUAUGCCAAAACCUUUGACUGUGUGGAUCACAAUAAACUGCAGAAAAUUCUGAAAGAGAUGGGAAUACCAGACCACCUAACCUGCCUCUUGAGAAAUCUGUAUGCAGGUCAGGAAGCAACAGUUAGAACUGGACAUGAAACAACAGACUGGUUCCAAAUAGAAAAAGCACUAUGUCAAGGCUGUAUAUUGUCAGCCUGCUUAUUUAACUUAUAUGUAGAAUACAUCAUGAGAAUUUCUGGGCUGGAAGAAGCACAAGCUGGAAUCAAAAUUGCCAGGAGAAAUAUCAAUAACCUCAGAUAUGCAGAUGACACCACCCUUAUGGCAGAAAGUGAAGAGGAACUAAAAAGCCUCUUGAUGAAAGUGAUAGAGGAGAGUGAAAAAGUUGGCUUAAAGCUCAACAUUCAGAAAAUGAAGAUCAUGGCAUCUGGUCCCAUCACUUCAUGGGAAAUAGAUGGGGAAACAGUGGAAAUAGUGUCAGACUUUGCUUUUUGGGGCUCCAAAAUCACUGCAAAUGAUGACUGCAGCCAUGAGAUUAAAAGACGCUUACUCUUUGGAAGAAAAGUUAUGAGCAACCUAGAUAGCAUAUUGAAAAGCAGAGACAUUACUUUGCCAACAAAGGUCCAUCUAGUCAAGGCUAUGGUUUUUCCAGUGGUCAAGUAUGGAUGUGAGAGUUGGAAUGUGAAGAAAGCUGAGCACCAAAGAAUUGAUGCUUUUGAACUGUGGUGUUGGAGAAGACUCUCGAGAGUCCCUUGGACUGCAAGGAGAUCCAACCAGUCCAUUGUGAAGGAGAUCAGCCCUGGAAUUUCUUUGGAAGGAAUGAUGCAAAAGCUGAAACUUCAGUACUUUGGCCACCUCAUGCGAAGAGUUGACUCAUUGGAAAAGACUCUGAUGCUGGGAGGGAUUGGGGGCAGGAGGAGAAGGGGACGACCAAGGAUGAGAUGGCUGGAUGGCAUCACUGACUCUAUGGACGUGAGUCUGAGUGAACUCCGGGAGUUGGUGAUGGACAGGGAGGCCUGGCCUGCUGCGAUUCAUGGGGUCGCAAAGAGUCUGACAUGA